rnacentral:rRNA from 1 species
GACGAACGCUGGCGGCGUGCUUAACACAUGCAAGUCGAACGGAAAGGCCCUGCUUUUGUGGGGUGCUCGAGUGGCGAACGGGUGAGUAACACGUGAGUAACCUGCCCUUGACUUUGGGAUAACUUCAGGAAACUGGGGCUAAUACCGGAUAGGAGCUCCUGCUGCAUGGUGGGGGUUGGAAAGUUUCGGCGGUUGGGGAUGGACUCGCGGCUUAUCAGCUUGUUGGUGGGGUAGUGGAUUACCAAGGCUUUGACGGGUAGCCGGCCUGAGAGGGUGACCGGCCACAAUGGGACUGCGAUACGGCCCAGUCUCCUACGGGAGGCAGCAGUGGGGAAUAUUGCACAAUGGGCGGAAGCCUGAUGCAGCAACGCCGCGUGCGUGAUGACGGCUUUCGGGUUGUAAACCGCUUUCGCCUGUGACGAAGCGUGAGUGACGGUAAUGGGUAAAGAAGCACCGGCUAACUACGUG